UACGAAGGGGGCUAGCGUUGCUCGGAAUCACUGGGCGUAAAGCGCACGUAGGCGGAUUGUUAAGUCAGGGGUGAAAUCCUGGAGCUCAACUCCAGAACUGCCUUUGAUACUGGCGAUCUCGAGUCCGGGAGAGGUGAGUGGAACUGCGAGUGUAGAGGUGAAAUUCGUAGAUAUUCGCAAGAACACCAGUGGCGAAGGCGGCUCACUGGCCCGGUACUGACGCUGAGGUGCGAAAGCGUGGGGAGCGAACCGG
rnacentral:rRNA from 1 species